rnacentral:rRNA from 1 species
UACGGAGGGUGCAAGCGUUAUCCGGAUUCACUGGGUUUAAAGGGUGCGUAGGUGGGCAGGUAAGUCAGUGGUGAAAUCUCCGGGCUUAACCCGGGAACUGCCGUUGAUACUAUUUGUCUUGAAUAUUGUGGAGGUAAGCGGAAUAUGUCAUGUAGCGGUGAAAUGCUUAGAUAUGACAUAGAACACCAAUUGCGAAGGCAGCUUACUACACAAUGAUUGACACUGAGGCACGAAAGCGUGGGGAUCAAACAGG